CCUACGGGUGGCAGCAGUGGGGAAUAUUGCACAAUGGAGGGAACUCUGAUGCAGCAACGCCGCGUGAGUGAAGACGUAUUUCGGUAUGUAAAGCUCUAUCAGCAGGGAAGAAAAUGACGGUACCUGAAUAAGAAGCACCGGCUAAAUACGUGCCAGCAGCCGCGGUAAUACGUAGGGAGCAAGCGUUAUCCGGAUUUACUGGGUGUAAAGGGAGCGUAGGCGGCUGAACAAGUCCGAAGUGAAAUCCCAGAGCUCAACGCCGGCACUGCUUUAGAAACUGCGCAGCUAGAGUGCAGGUGAGGUAGGCGGAAUGCUUAGUGUAGCGGUGAAAUGCGUAGAGAUUAGGAGGAACACCAGUGGCGAAGGCGGCUUACUGGACUGUAACUGACGUUGAGGCUCGAAAGCGUGGGGAGCAAACAGGAUUAGAUACCCCUGUAGUC
rnacentral:rRNA from 1 species